rnacentral:rRNA from 1 species
UACGUAGGUGACCAGCGUUGUCCGGAUUUACUGGGCGUAAAGAGCGCGCAGGCGGUCGUUCAAGUCGAGUGUGAAAGCCCCCGGCUCAACUGGGGAGGGUCAUUCGAUACUGAUCGACUUGAAGGCAGGAGAGGGAAGUGGAAUUCCCGGUGUAGCGGUGAAAUGUGUAGAGAUCGGGAGGAACACCGGUGGCGAAGGCGGGUCUCUGGGCAAUUCCUGACGCUGAGGCGCGAAAGCGUGGGGAGCAAACGGG